rnacentral:rRNA from 1 species
GACGAACGCUGGCGGCGUGCUUAACACAUGCAAGUCGAACGGAGUGGGGACGGGUGAGUAACACGUGGGUAACCUCCCAUCAGAGGGGAUAACACUUGGUAACAGGUGCUAAACCGCUACUGAUGGAUGUAUCCGCGGGGCAUUAGCUAGUGGGUGAGGUAACGGCUCACCAAGGCCACGAUGCAUAGCCGACCUGAGAGGGUGAUCGGCCACACGGGGACUGAGACACGGCCCAGACUCCUACGGGAGGCAGCAGUAGGGAAUCUUCGGCAAUGGACGAAAGUCUGACACAGCCACGCCGCGUGUGUGAAGAAGGUUUUCGGAUCGUAAAAUUCUGUUGUCAGAGAAGCGGUAUCUAAACAGAAAGCAACGGCUAACUACGUGCCAGCAGCCGCGGUAAUUC